CGUGUCUUUCCCCGGAAGCGGAAGUGGAAAUGUUUGGAAGCUGCAGUACCGUGUGGCGGAAGUACAGUAGAGCAGAGCAGAGGGUCGUUGUUGAAUUACCGACUGAGUACUUUGAUAAGCUGUGUGUUUUUGAAAGCAACUUUACUUGGAAUGGUUCCUGUGAAGAUCCAGUGGAAGUAUUGUGAGUGUAUACCUGAGAAAGAGGCUACCUUUUUCUUUCUUGCAUCAGAGUACAGUGUCCAUAUAAACAAUGCGACUUCCAAACUAUGAGUCUCCUCACACUCGUACCGCCAGCCACAGUAUUAUUGAGUCUUUAAUUUAAUACUGGAGCAUUCUUUUUAUUGUUCAGGUGUUCAUAGAGUUCCCGACGCAGGUGUUACAGGGGCUAAUACUAAACCACCGGCAUUGGAGCACCAGUGAGGUUAAGCCAUCACAUAGCAGCUUUAGCAUUGGGCUUAAGCUGCUACAUCCAUAGAUACAGUCUAUGGCUACAUCAGUUAAAAACCAGCCAGUUGGAACUUUGUUACAUUAUUUCAGAUUCGCUAUGCGUGCUAAUUAGCAUGCUAGCAUUAGCAUUAGCACCGUGGCUAAUCAUCGCACAUUGAGUCAGGUAUGAGCAGCUACAAGGUUUAUUUGAUAAUGUGUGUGUUCACAAAACUGAACAAAACCUUUGGCAGCAGAAGUGGAAAGAGAAGAGACUCUAUAUUGACUGAUUUGCCGGAACUGACUAUUUCUAUGGACGUGUGAUGCUGCAUCCAACGCAAAUAUCGUCACUGGGAGGGCUUAGCAAACUGCCGGUGUUACCAUUAACUUGUUGCUCCUCAACUGGUGAUAUUCUACAAUGUGAAGCAGAUUUGUGUGGGGGGGUGUACUUUAAGGAACCAAUGUGGACUGACCAGGAAAUGCACAUUUUGAUCGUUUUAUCUGUGGUUUACAUUUCUCUUUUGCUAUAUUUGUCUCCAUAGGAACAUAUGCUGCUCAUUCAGUGCGAAUAUUUGAGGCCGUGGUAACAAUACCGAUAUCAGGACGCUCACAGUGAGGACUACACGACGACACAAUUAGGUGACUGUGUGGUUGCUUCUUCAAAAACGUUGAAAGCUUAAAUGAACCAUUUAGACCAGUUAUUUGUGACAGACUUAUUACUUUAAAUCGUUCUUAAUGUCGUUCUCAAAGCUAAUCUGCAUUAACAACGAUGCACAACUGACAAAAAUAUAUAUUUAAAUGAUUUAUUAAAGUUUGCAAGGUGCGAACAGGCAUCCACACGGUCACCUACUUUGUCCUUUUCUAGUUCUCACUGUGCAGGGCACCAUAUCGGCCUCUAACCCACAACCUCACACGUGCUACUGAAUGAGCAUCAGUGUUCCUGUGGAGGCAGAUACACCAAAAGAUGAGUUGCAUAGCGAUCAAAGUGGUGGCUUUUAAUGUGCGCAGCAGUAAUCCAGAGAUAACUUGGUAUGUUACAUUUCUGCAAGGGGGGGGGAUUAAUAUAAACUGGAUUUAGAGACAAUAUAUUUUCUCUAAAUCCAGUUUAUAAUAUAUAUUUCAAAAUAGUUUAUUAUACUUUGUAAUUCCAAAUAUUUGCAAUAUAAAAUGUCAAAAUAGAAAUAUAUUUGUUUUUAAAUGCGUUUCAAGCUUAGGUUAAUCUCUAGAGAAGAGAUGAUCCUGAAGUUCUCCUUUUGUUAGUUAGAUGUUAGUCUAGUGUUUUUCCUCCUUGUGAGCGCUUUGUGUUACUCCUCGAUACCUACCCUGAAAGAAGGAUCUUUUUGUGUUCAUCUUAAUUAAAAGAUAUUUCUGUUACAUUCAAGAA